UACAAUUGCAAUAGAAUUUCACAGCAAUCAACUAAAUUCAAUCUUUCCCUUCUAAAGAACCAGUAGAUUGCAUCAACAACCAUCUUGAUAAACACUAAAGGAACAACAGUUGUAGAUACUAUCAAUAAAACAACAUGAUUACAACUACCUGCUUCUGCUCAAAAUUGAGGAAAUUGAAUAAAAUAUUGAUUUGAUUUGCCUUUCAAUGUAAUUACGAAUUGAACCGUAAUAAUCACUGGGAUCUUCUUUU
rnacentral:lncRNA from 1 species